rnacentral:lncRNA from 1 species
AGGAGGCUAAAAUGAAUAUGUCAUAGUUCCUGCCUUUGCAAGCUACAGUCUAGUAGGGGAAAUAGACAUGAAAACAGAAGAAUGUCACACACUGUGAUAAAUGCCACAAUCACCUUAUUCUGCCUGGGAGAGCCAGGCAGAGGAGGUGAUAUCUGAGGAGCGUUGAAAGAUGAGGAGGUGUUUGCCAGGCAGAGAAGCUCAGAUUUGUUUCCAGUGUCAUAAAUCAUCAUAAUUAACAACCUUUCAACCAAAUGGAUCCCAAA